rnacentral:rRNA from 1 species
UACGUAGGGGGCGAGCGUUGUCCGGAUUCAUUGGGCGUAAAGAGCUCGUAGGCGGCUUGCUAAGUCGGGUGUGAAACCCCCAGGCUCAACCUGGGGUCGCCAUCUGAUACUGGUAUGGCUGGAGUCCGGUAGGGGACCAUGGGAUUCCUGGUGUAGCGGUGAAAUGCGCAGAUAUCAGGAGGAACACCGGUGGCGAAGGCGGGUCUCUGGGCCGAUAUCGACGCUGAGGAGCGAAAGCGUGGGGAGCGAACAGG